UACAGACAUGUGCCACCACACCCAGCUAACAUUUUUAAAGUACUCUUUGUAGAGACGGGGGUCUUGCCAUGUUGCCCAGCCUGGUCUCAAACUACUGGCCUCAAGCAAUCCUCCUGCCUUGGCCUCCCAAACUGCUGGGAUUACUGGCAUGAGCCACCACACCUGGCUUAAUUUGCUUUAAAAAAAAAUUCGAUAGGGGUACAAGUGGUUUUUGGCUACAUGGAUGAAUUAUAUGAUAAUAAUGUCUGGGCUUUUAGUGCGACCAUCACCUGAAUAGUGUACAUUGUACUCAGUAGGUGAUUUUUAAAUUCCACAUUCCCCUCUCAACUUUCCCACCUUCUGAGGCUUCAGUGUCCAUUAUACCAAUCUACAUACCUUUGCGUACCCAUAGCUUAGCUCCCACUUACAAGUAAGAACAUGCAGUAUUUGAUUUUCUGUUCCUGAGUUACUUCGCUUAGGAUAAUGACCUCUGGUUCUAUGCAAGUUGCUGCAAAAUACAUUAUUUUCCUCUUUUUAUGGCUGCAUAGUAUUCCAUGGUGUGUAUUUGUGUGUGUAUGUGUGUGCGUGUAUAUACACAGCACAUUUUCUUUAUCCACUCAUCAGUUGAUGGAUGCAGUGUGGUUUUAAUAUUAGCCAUUCUGAUAGGUCUAUGGUGACAUCUCAUUAUAAUUUUAUUUUGCAUUUCCCUGAUGACUAGUAAGAUGACUGAGUUUCAUAUAUUUAUUGGCUCCUUUUAUAAGGUGUCUGUCUGUACAAGUAGUUUGCUUUUCUUUUCUUUUUUUUUUUUUUUUGAGACAGGAUCUCCCUUUGUUGCCCAGGCUGGAGCACAGUGGUGCAAAUCUGGCUCACUGCAGUCUCAACCUCCUGAAAUCAAGCAAUUUUCCUGCCUCAGCCUCCUGUGUAGCUGGGAAACACAGGCACAUGCCACCGUGCCUGGCUAAUUUUUUUAUUUUUUGUAGAGAUGGAGUCUCAAUUUGUUGACCAGGCUAGGACAAGUUCUUUAUUGAUUAAAUGUUUAGCAAUCUUUUUCCACUCUGUGGCUGACUUUAUUACUGUCUUAAUAGUGUCUUCUCAUGAAUUGAAGUCUUAAUAGUGUCUUCUCAUGAAUUGAAGCUCCUAUUUAAUAAAGUUGUCCAAUUUAUCAACAUUUUUGUUUAUGGUUAGUGUUUCUAUGUCUCAUUUAAGAAAUACCUGCCUACUCCAACUCAUGAAGAUAGUCUCUAGUGUUAUCUUCUAGAAUAUUUCCUUUUUAUUUUUUUAAACUCUCUAGCCCUAUGUCAUAAGAAUAUUUCUGGUUUUACUUUUCACAUUUAGAUCUCUAAUCCACCUGAUGUUUGAGUGUGUUGUGGGGGAGGGGUUAAGUUUAAUUUUUUUCCAUAUGGAUAGCUAGUUGACCCAAUAUCAUUUGUUGAAAAGUGCACCCCUUCCCCUCUGUUCUGUAGUGUGAUCUUCGUCAUAAGUCAAGUGUACCUAUAUGUGUCGGUCUAUUUCUGAAUUCUCUCUUCUGUUUCAUUGGUCUAUUUUCCUAUUCUUUUGCUGACAUCACACCAUCUUAAUAACUAUGACCUUAUAUUGAUACUCACUGUUAGUCUUCCAACUUAUUC
rnacentral:lncRNA from 10 species